rnacentral:piRNA from 1 species
CUGUAAUAUGAAACAGGUUUCCUCAGAUAGA